rnacentral:tRNA from 3 species
GCCGACGUAGCCGAGCUGGCCAAAGGCGGCAGACUCAAGAUCUGUUCCCUAGCGGUUCACCGGUUCGAAUCCGGUCGUCGGCACCA